rnacentral:rRNA from 1 species
UACGAAGGGGGCUAGCGUUGCUCGGAAUCACUGGGCGUAAAGCGCACGUAGGCGGACUCUUAAGUCAGGGGUGAAAUCCUGGAGCUCAACUCCCAGAACUGCCUUUGAUACUGGGGAGCCUUGAGUUCGGGAGAGGUGAGUGGAACUGCGAGUGUAGAGGUGAAAUUCGUAGAUAUUCGCAAGAACACCAGUGGCGAAGGCGGCUCACUGGCCCGAUACUGACGCUGAGGUGCGAAAGCGUGGGGAGCAAACAGG